AAACCGGCCCUGAAGCGCGCACACACCGCCCGUCACUCUCCCCGAGCUUACACUCACCAGUAAAUAAGACACAAUACCUGCAAAGGGGAGGCAAGUCGUAACAUGGUAAGUGUACCGGAAGGUGCACUUGGAAAAAU
rnacentral:rRNA from 1 species